GGGUGAAGUCGUAACAAGGUAGCCGUAGGGGAACCUGCGGCUGGAUCACCUCCUUAAACGAAG
rnacentral:rRNA from 1 species